GAUGAACGCUGGCGGCGUGCCUAAUACAUGCAAGUCGAGCGAACAGACGAGGAGCUUGCUCCUCUGCCGUUAGCGGCUGACGGGUGAGUAACACGUGGAUCACCUACCUAUUUGUCUUGGAUAACAUCGGGAAACCGGAGCCAAUACCGCAUAAUACAUUCUACCGCAUGGUUCAAUAGAUAAUCACGGCUUUCCUGUCACUUAUAGACGGAUCCGCGUCGCAUUAGCUAGUUGGUAAGGUAACGGCUUACCAAGGCGACGAUGCGUAGCCGACCUGAGAGGGUGAUCGGCCACACUGGAACUGAGACACGGUCCAGACUCCUACGGGAGGCAGCAGUAGGGAAUCUUCCGCAAUGGGCGAAAGCCUGACGGAGCAACGCCGCGUGAGUGAUGAAGGUCUUCGGAUCGUAAAACUCUGUUAUUAGGGAAGAACAAAUGUGUAAGUAACUAUGCACGUCUUGACGGUACCUAAUCAGAAAGCCACGGCUAACUACGUG
rnacentral:rRNA from 1 species